CUUAUCAAGAGCGGCGGAGGGAACGGCCCGAUGAAGCCCGGCAACCUGUUUAUUCAAGGUGCCAAAUCCGGCGUGAGACGAAAGAUGAGG
rnacentral:ncRNA from 1 species